rnacentral:lncRNA from 1 species
AGCACUGCUACCGUCACACCUUCAAACACACGCUCUAAAACACACCCACUAAUAUGAUGCCACAUCACUCUUUUCAUUAAACCGUGUAACAGGCAACCGGCUAUGCCGGUUUGAAAAUUAGGACACUCAUAUCCUUUGCAAAAAAUAAAAAACCCAUCUCCUACUCUCUCUCUCAAACCACCGGCGACCGCACCAUGUAUCCCAUGACGACAUCAGUCAUCUCGUUGCACCAGCAAAUCCAAAAGUCACCGAACGGUCUUAUCAAUUACAGAUUUUGUUUAGGAAAAUCUUAUCAAUUAUAGAUAAUUCAUGUUUUUACUGUAUGAUUUAAGAGUUUCCAUUAGCUAUGUAUAAAUUGUUUAUGUUAACGGUGGAUUGAAAAUGGCUUGAAAAGAAAUGGAAAAGAUGAAAGCCUAGUCCGUCAUCAAAUCAACUGUAAAACAAAUCACUACAGUACCAUAAAAAACGACAAGCUCACAUAGGAGAGGAGGACUCAGAUCUGGUUCCCCAAAUGUGUAACUGGUGCUUGCGGAAGUUGGAAAGCUAAAGAGAAAGGGCAAUUUUUAGAGAGAGAAAGUAAAUCUCACAAACUAUGAUAGAUGUAGGUAGCCAAAAAAAUAUGUUAAAAUGAAAGGAAAAGAGAUAAGUAGAAUGACAUUUGAGUGUGGUGUUGAUUGUUGAAAAGUAAAAAUUAAGAAGGAAGAAGAUUGAUUGUCAUGGAGGUUGCUUGGGUGGCUACUGACACCGUAGUAUAGACCUGAAUAAUCUGAAGAAAAAAAAAUUGAAAAAAUAAAAAGAGGUAACAAAUAGCACCGGUUAGCAAGUCAGCGGUAAACAACGUGGCAUUCUAUAUGUGGGUGUGUUAGUACGCGAGUGUCAAAACGUGUGACCAUAGCACUGCUC